GAUGAACGCUGGCGGCGUGCCUAAUACAUGCAAGUCGAGCGAAUGGAUUAAGAGCUUGCUCUUAUGAAGUUAGCGGCGGACGGGUGAGUAACACGUGGGUAACCUGCCCAUAAGACUGGGAUAACUCCGGGAAACCGGGGCUAAUACCGGAUAACGUUUUGAACGGCAUGGUUCGAAAGUGAAAGGCGGCUUCGGCUGUCACUUAUGGAUGGACCCGCGUCGCAUUAGCUAGUUGGGGAGGUAACGGCUCACCACAGCAACGAUGCGUAGCCGACCUGAGAGGGCGAUCGGCCACACUGGGACUGAGACACGGCCCAGACUCCUACGGGAGGCAGCAGUAGGGAAUCUUCCGCAAUGGACGAAAGUCUGACGGAGCAACGCCGCGUGAGUGAUGAAGGCUUUCGGGUCGUAAAACUCUGUUGUUAGGGAAGAACAAGUGCUAGUUGAAUAAGCUGGCACCUUGACGGUACCUAACCAGAAAGCCACGGCUAACUACGUGCCAGCCGCCGCCGUAA
rnacentral:rRNA from 1 species